CUCUUAUUUUCGGCAGCAGUAGAGAAUCUUGUGCAAUAAACGAAAAGUAUGACACAGAGAGGACACAUUUAAUUGAGCCCGUCAAAUUAAGUGCCAGCCGACGCGGUUAGACUUAAGGGCUGGUCUUUAUAAGAAAAGGCGUAAAGGAUGUGUGGGCCAAGAAAAUUACCCAGAAGGAGGUAAAUGGAAUUUUUCUGGAGCGGUAGAAUGUGAGGAUAGAAAAUAGAACUCCUAAGGUUAAAACUAUUUACCACAAGGCAGGCUGAAACAUGAGAGUGUGGGGAGCAAACAGGAUUAGAGACCCUGGUAGUCCACACUGUGAACUUUGAAGAUAAUGCUUAGCAGACCUGAAAGAUAAAAAUCUUCCGCCUGAGUAGUACGAUCGCAAGAUUAAAAUUCAAAAACUUUGGCUGUUCACUAUUUCGAUUAGAGGAGCGUGUAGUUUAAUUCGAUGGUCCGCGUGUAACCUUACCCCAACUUGAAUCCGUGACCGGUAUUGCAUGGCCGUCGUAAGUCCGUGUGUUAAGCUAGAAGGGACCCAACCCGGGCGCACGCCCGGAGGAAGUCAGGUCUUAUGAUCCGAAUGUUGGGGGGUUUUAUGCGCUACAUUUUCUUAUAUAAUGGGAAACCUGAAAAGUGUACCUCUAAAGUAAGAGUUUCGGAAGGUCGCUGUAAGACGACUGGAAGUUGGAUUUAAUAGUAAUCGGAAAGUAGGGCGUUCCGGUGAAUUGGUGCAAGUGUUAGCACAAAUUGCCCGUCACCUUUACCUAGAAUGGUCAUUCGGUACGCCUCCGGUGGUCACGAAUGCCUACGAGGUAAAGCAA
rnacentral:rRNA from 1 species